CCUACGGGAGGCAGCAGUGAGGAAUAUUGGUCACUGGGCGCGAGCCUGAACCAGCCAAGUCGCGUGAGGGAGGACGGCCCUACGGGUUGUAAACCUCUUUUGCCAGGGAGCAACGGGCGUCACGUGUGGCGCCACUGAGAGUACCCGGAGAAAAAGCAUCGGCUAACUCCGUGCCAGCAGCCGCGUUAAUACGGAGGAUGCGAGCGUUCUCCGGAUUUAUUGGGUUUAAAGGGUGCGUAGGCGGAUCGUUAAGUCAGUGGUCAAAUUGAGGGGCUCAACCCCUUCCCGCCAUUGAAACUGGCGUUCUUGAGUGGAAGAGAAGUAUGCGGAAUGCGUGGUGUAGCGGUGAAAUGCAUAGAGAUCACGCAGAACCCCGAUUGCGAAGGCAGCAUGCCGGCUUCCGACUGACGCUGAAGCACGAAAGCGUGGGGAUCGAACAGGAUUAGAUACCCGAGUAGUC
rnacentral:rRNA from 1 species